GCCGGGCGCGGUGGCUCAAGCCUGUAAUCCCAGCACUUUGGGAGGCCGAGACGGGUGGAUCACGAGGUCAGGAGAUCGAGACCAUCCUGGCUAACACGGCGAAACCCCGUCUCUACUAAAAAANNNNNNNNNNUUUUUUAGUAGAGACGGGGUUUCGCCGUGUUAGCCAGGAUGGUCUCGAUCUCCUGACCUCAUGAUCCGCCAGUCUCGGC
rnacentral:SRP_RNA from 1 species